rnacentral:rRNA from 1 species
AUACGGAGGGUGCAAGCGUUACUCGGAAUCACUGGGCGUAAAGCGCGCGCAGGCGGCUAUUUAAGUUGGAUGUGAAAGCCUAUGGCUCAACCAUAGAACUGCAUCCAAAACUAUUUAGCUAGAGUGUGAGAGAGGAAGAUGGAAUUAGUUGUGUAGGGGUAAAAUCCGUAGAGAUAACUAGGAAUACCAAAAGCGAAGGCAAUCUUCUGGAACACUACUGACGCUAAGGCGCGAAAGCGUGGGGAGCAAACAGAAUUAGAAGCCCUAGUAGUCC